GAUGAACGCUGGCGGCGUGCCUAAUACAUGCAAGUCGAGCGAACAGACGAGGAGCUUGCUCCUCUGACGUUAGCGGCGGACGGGUGAGUAACACGUGGAUAACCUACCUAUAAGACUGGGAUAACUUCGGGAAACCGGAGCUAAUACCGGAUAAUAUAUUGAACCGCAUGGUUCAAUAGUGAAAGACGGUUUUGCUGUCACUUAUAGAUGGAUCCGCGCCGCAUUAGCUAGUUGGUAAGGUAACGGCUUACCAAGGCAACGAUGCGUAGCCGACCUGAGAGGGGGGUCGGCCCACAGGGAAAUGGGGCCAGGGCCAACCCCCGACGGGGGGGCGGAGGGGGGAAUCUUCCGGAAGGGGGGAAAGCCGUGAGGGGCCACCGCGGGGGGGGGAAGAAGGGUUUUGGGUCGUAAAACCUUUUUUUUUGGGAAAAAAAAAAGGUGAAAGAACCUUGCCAGUUCGGGAGGUACCAAAACAAAAAACCCCCGCCAACUUCGG
rnacentral:rRNA from 1 species